ensembl:lncRNA
CAGUAAUAGUGGUGGUCUUAAGACGUAACGGCAAGGAUUAACUGAAAUAAUAGAUGUGACAUUCUCAGCCUCGCGUCGGACACCGGAAGUACCCAAUCCUCGCCAGUGGCUGGUGUCUUAUAUUCUCUCACUGGCUCCUUGAGGUCUUUAUAUCGUGGCAUGACUAUUGCAUCUCCCCUCUUGUCUGCCGGGAGGGGCGUUGUCUCUCUGCAGAUCUGCCGUCUCCUUGCUGAGGGCAGCUGUGGAGAGAACGGCUCUUAAAACUGCCCCUGGGGAGUCUCAGUUGGCUCGGCCAGUUUCCCUCCCACUGUCAGGGAGUAAGGCUCUCUGAAUAAGCACUCGCCCCUCGGCUGUGCUGACUGCCUGGGUGAUUCGUGGAUGCUGUUUUUUCUCACUAGUUGGCAUUAUAAGAUGCUUAAAGGGGGCACGAGCUGGGAAGUGCUGGCGAGUCGUUAACCAGUGGCUGUGUUCUCCCUCCCUGCAGUGACUUGGGCCUGUGUAGCGAUGUGUAGCGAUGACCAAGGCCUCUCAAAGAUCACGCAGGGAGCAGAGAUGGCAGCGGAAGGGUGCUUGGGUCAAGCACACCCCCACAGGGGUCAUCCUUGGCAAGCUUGAGCAACAAAGGGCUCUGAAGCUGGAGACGCCGGGUGAGAGGACGUUGCUAGCAGCUGGUCAGCAUUCUGUGACUAUGGCCAACAAGCCAGCUCACCUGGGACUUGAUGCUGACACCAAGGGAUGGCACAUUUCAGCGUGGAUCCCUGGUGCUGAGUCAGCUAAGGGGCCAUCCGUUGACUAAGUGGAAGAUGCCAGGUCAGAUCUGGUUUCCUGUGCUAAGAUUCCCUCAAGAAGCUGCCCUGGAUCUUGGUAAUGACUCUGUGUCCAGGAUUGGGGCAUAACACACUUCUUAGGACACUACCAUGGGUUGCUGUGUCAGAGGUCUUACAGACCUGGGGGGCUUCUGCCAUAAGACUCAUUGUGCCUCUGUACCAAGAGGUGAUGGGUGUCCCCACGUUGUCCCAUCUGGCCACUGCUGCCCAUUAGCAGGCCUCCAUUUGGAGAGCCGGGGUGCUGGAGGGUUAGAGGGUAGGGUCUAGCUGUGCUCCUGAGGAAGCAGCACAACCCUCCUGGGGAGCUCCUUGGGAUCAUCUGGAGAUGCCUGGGGGGACCAGAACCUUGGAGAUGCGAGUCCAGCAGCGGUCCAGCGUCCGUGGGGGAGCCCAGACCCCGUGCCGUCCAGCUUGGUCGUAAGGGUUGGUGCUGGGCGGCCUCUAGCAGGGUGCUCAUCUGGAAGAAGACCUGGAGUGUCUCAGGAGGCGGCCAACACAGGCACAGUCCUGCUCUGACCGUUGGAACUGCAGGACAGGACCUGUUCAUGUCCAUCUUAGGUCACCGAACACUGGGGGUUUCUGAAACACUGCCUGGGAGGUGGAACAGCAGCCCAGAGCAUGAAGGCCAGGGAGGGUCAGCUACACCACAGCCUCAGUACAUAGCUGUAUAGUCUAGCUGUACGUCCUUCUGGUUCUGCUAUGUGGGACACCACUUUAUGUGGCUUGAUGAGCGGUGCGAGGUCUAUGCCUGGGAUCGGAACCAGUGAAACCCUGGGCCGCCGAAGUGGAGCACAUGAACUUAACCGCUCAGCCACGGGCCGGGCCCUCUGAAUAUUAUUAACUACCUGAGUCACACAGACAGUGUGUAUUACUUCUCACCCUGAGUCCUCCUUCCUAAGGCAACUGCUCUGCCUUCGGGAUCUCCUUCCCACCUUCUCGCAGCCGCUGUGGUUUUGAUGUCGUGUAUGUGCUCCCCCUCAAGCUGGGACCCCUGGGGGACUAGUGGGCACUCACUGGGGGUCCACGCUCUGCCAGACCGCAUGCUAACCGAUCCACGUGGACCAUUUCAUCCUGUUCUCACGACAUCUCCUGGAGGCAGCCUCAUCUUCUGGAUGGCAGACCUGAGGCUUCGGGAGACAGGCGAUCUGCUCAAGAGCACACAGCUGGUCCAGGGUGCUCAAAGACCCCAGGGCAGGUCCCCCUGCUCCUCCCAACACCCUGCCGAUGGCUGGGGGACAUAGACUUCCCUGCGAUCCGUUUCAGACGGACGAGGAAGCUCAGGGUAGAAAGAUGAGCUGACUGGCCUGAUAUCUGACUGCUCACCAAAUUCCGUGAGCUCUGAAUCAGAAGCUUCCCAGAUUCCCCUUUCCUCCAACGCACUCUUGGCAGGAAACAUACCCCCUUCCCCGGCCCUUCUCCAAGCUUUGGCCUGGCAUUCAAGGCUCCUUAUACAGAGCAGCAGAGUGCAAAGUCUAAGGGCACUAGCUAUAAAAUCAGAGAGACCUGGGUGAGGAGGGCUCCCAGCUCUGUGACUCUGGGCAGGGCCGUUCUUGCUGCCUGGAAUACUUCACUCCCAUCCUGCCCUUGGAGGCAAACUCCUGCUUGUCUUCGGAGGCCCAGAUGUCAGGCAUCUCUUCCUCUGGGAAGCCUCCGAGAUUUCUUCAGGCAUUCCAUCCUGUAUGUUCCAUGGGCCCCAGGCAUGGCCCGUGCUCCUCUCUCCGGCGUGCUCCCAUGGUCAGAGGCUGUGUCUUGGCCUUCUAGGGGCCCAUAGGGUAGGCUGCAGCAAACGCUGAUCACCGUCUUGUAGCGGCAGGAGCCCCCCAACCCCCGCCCACUUGCCCACAGUGGGGUUCAUCUGCAGAUCCCAGCACCCCUUCCGCCAGCCCUCAGCACAGACACCCGCCUGCCCUCCAGCCAACCCUCUCCUGCGGCAGCGGACCGGAGAGCAUCAGACGUUCCUGCCCACCACCGGCCAGGCCCUGCAGGGGCACGACUCAGGGAGGAAGGUCAAGACAUGUAAUUUCUUUUAAUUGGAAACGAAUGAGCCGUGGUCCCCCAGCUGGUCAGUGUUGUCGGCCAUGCCCUGCCAGCUGGAGGCUCAGCUGUGGCUGUCUGUGGAGGGGCUGCCUGCUAGGUGCUGUCCGGCCUCCAGUGCCUGGGAGGCCCAUCUGCCAGGCCCGCAGCCGGGCCAUUGGGUGGGGCCUCUGCCGCCGAGAAAGAGCAGGGCUGGGCCCCAGGGUAGGACAGGCUGUGGUGCUGUCCCUGCCCUUCCGUCUCCCUUCUGUCAUUGCCCCGUGCCUUGUGCUGGUCCCUUCCUGGAGCCCCUCCUCGGUCUGAUGGCCAGACCUUCAUAAUAUGGACUCAGGCAUCUCACUGUGGCCCCCCUUGCAGGGCGACAAUGCUCCGAGGGCCGCCUUUGGCCCCAUGUCUCCCUUGCUGAACCACAGCAGUGCACACAGGAUCCAGAGACCCCCACCACUCACAGGACAAAGGGGGAAGUGCCCGCAUCUGCAGGAGCCUGCCCCUUGGAGCGAGACAUCCGGCCCUGUCCUGGUGGGGCUGAGCCACCUUGGAGCACUGGACAGUGACCAGCACCCUCUGAUGUGGCAUGGCUGCUGCAGGCGGCUGUGACAGAGCGUGCUGAGAAAGGGGAGUGCCACCCUCUCUGGUCCCAGGUACAGGAAAUGGACACGGGCCGCAGCUGCAGGAGCUGCCGACGACAGGUGCUGCACCAGAGGAGGCAGAGGCGAGCGGCAGGAACAUUAUCGGAGAGGGUUUCCAGAGGAGCAUCCAGGAAGCUGGGAAGCGAUAGAACAGAUGGUCCCAUUGUGAAAUCUGGCCUUUCCCUCCCGCCUUGUGGGCAAGAGUCCUCUGCCCAGGCCCACGGCCCUGCCACUGCCCAGGACCGGGGGAUGGAGUGUCCGGCUUGCUAUCUUCAGACAGAACAGAGGGGCCCCAGGCCCAGACGGAGCCUUGGGCAGCAAAGGACAGCCCAUUGACACGGACCAGCUGAGGCAGGAAAGGGACAAGACACUCGAGAGAGCGUCUCCACAGCAAGUACGGGGUUGAGGGACCCAGCAAGGCCGUGCCGGGCAGAGCUGCUGGACGAGGUGUGUGUGUGAGUGAGCUGGAGGUGGUUGGCAGGAAAAGCACCCGUCCCGGCUGAGCCCAUGCUCCUGGGGCUGCGGGGUCAAGGAGACAGUGCACAGCUGGCCGGGCCUUCAGGAUCCUGGAGGUGCUCGGGGCAGGCGCCUUCAGUCAACACUCCAGGACACCGGGUCCCGGGGAAGCAGUGAAUUGCCUGUCAGGAGCCACGCCUGGCAAAGAUGGAAAAGGAAAAGGCUGUUAUCGACGGAGCAGGAGGGGUCCAGGCUGGAGGCUGGAGGGAAGUCACCACGGGCCCGGACGGUCAGGACGGCUUCCUCCUUCCAGUAAGAGGAUGCAUGAGGAACAUGCCUAAGGGGGAAGGGGCGGUGGGACAGUGGAAGUCAGUAGAAUAAGUCAGUCCACACAAGACAGACUGAUGAGCUGACUUUCUAAAGCAAAAAAAAAAAAAAAAAAAAAGCAGUAAAUACAAAAGAAAUACUGGCCCUGGAAACAAACCGUGCCUGUUUACUGGACUAAGGCACACACAGAUGUGCUGUGUAAAUGGCAGUGAAAUAUGCUAAUAGACAAGCCUGGCGUUAAUCACGGGGCCAAUGAUUCUCGCUGUGCUGCCAUCGAGUGAGCGUUUUCUAGAGCGUCCUGUGCUCUCUGCUGGCCGGGGGCUGGGGGAGGGCCCCAGACCUCGCGCUGUGCCUGGCCCAAGUGGUGACAAACUCGGAGUCUUCCGGGAGGCAGCAGAUGACCAAGUGGAAAGCAGUGCAGAAUUGUUCAAGUGGCGGCAGCUCGGUUCCUGCCUUGAUGGGUUUUCCCGGGAAUCUGCCGUGGGCGGUGGCAAUCUUCGGAAUGACAGGGGCCAGAGGCAGGACCUGCCCAGGCUGGUCUAAUCGGAAAGGGCACUGGUGGGACGGAUGCAGGGGUAGCUCGGGACCCUGUGGGGCUGGGCGUACAGCCAGCCUCACGAGGUGGGACUGAGCGAGGCAGCUGCUGCCCCCGCCUUUCCUUCUCUCUUUCCUCUGCUUCUCUCCCUGCAGUCUGGCCUUCUCUGCUCCACCUCUCCAAGGUGGGACAUGCUGUGUCAGCCCUGUGUGCUCCCAGGCCCCGCACCAGCAGCCCAGUCCCUGCUCCAGACUCACGGGAGGAUCUGAUUGGCUCGGCCCCUCCCUGGCGUGUGAUCUCCAGUGUGCAGUCAGCCGGGACCAGGGGGCACGUCCCUGCAUCCUGGGCUUUCCCAGGUCCCAUCUCUGCUUUGGCACUGUUCCCAGACAACGUGUGGAGCAGACACCCUAGGAUGGGGCUACUGCCGGCGCCUGUGGUUGAUGGAACUCUCGAAUGCAGUGUCUCCCCAGCUGAGCCAGGCAGCUUCCCCUUCUGCAUUCUCCACGCCUGCGCACUGACUGCGCCCGUGGAGGAGGGCCCUGCUCCCUGGAUCUCCCCCUGCCAGGGCUGCAGGAGACUCCCUGGAGGCGUGUGGUCGGGGUGGGCUGUGAGAACCCUGAGGCACCCCGCUGAGCUGCGGGCGUCAAGCCUCUGUCUUCCCGGGUUUGCUUCUCCCUCUUUUCCAGUCUAGUUAGAACAUUUGCUGAGUGUCUGCCGUGUGCAACAAGCUCAGGAAAGAGAGGAUCGGGUGAGACGGAUCAGUGGAGGGGGCAGGUCCCAGCGACGCAGGCAGGGCCGGGCCCACCGCCUCAGUCCCUCCUCCUGGCCUGUGAGGUAGCCCCCCAGGCUGCUUUGCCCCAUACUCCGGGGUGUGGGAAGUUUCCGCGUCAUGGCCCCCCGCAGGACGGCUUCCCUCCCCCUCUCCCUUGCCCCCCAGGGCUUUGUAAGAGUCGCAUGGGACAGUGUGCAUGAAAGCUCUAAUUAAGAGUAAAGGAUUACAUGAGUGUAUUUUUCAGUCAAAACCAUAAAAGAAACCUUCCCUAAGGUUGGCCCAAGUGCUCCUGCUGAUGUGGGAGGAAGCUGGGUCUGGGGGCUGCAUCCUCCUCCCUGGCACGGAGUACGUGCGAGCUUUCGGGGUGCUGAGGAAGGUGGGCCUUGAGGACCGGGCUGAGAGAGCUGGCUUUGAUCCUGUUGGCAGGGCUGUGUUGACAACAGUCUUCUGGGAGGGGACCAGCCCACGCAGAGCUGGGGUCCCACGUCCUUUCUCGGGGCUCUGAGUCAGUUCUCAGGACACCGUGUGGCGGCUCCCAGUGGGCGUGCCGGUUGUGCAUCCGAGUGUGCUGCAAGGUGUAUGCUGCUCUCACGGCCCCUCUCCCCUCCACGGGCCGCAGUCCUGGACACGCUGGGAGAGCUUCUCCUGGCAGCAGGGCGGGGGGCUGUGCAGCCUCCCCCGCCGAGUGGCUUUGCCGCAUCCUUGCACACUCCUCCCCCAGACCCCACGCUUCACACCGCCUCCGCCUCUCGGCUCUCCUCCUCUCUUCCUCAUUCAGGGCGCUGGGUUUUGGUGCUUGUUGCCCGCAGCGGCAAAGAGCAAGGAAUGACAGGUACCGCCAAGACUACUUGGCUAUUUAAGCAAUCAAAGUUUAUUGAUAAAGGGAAAAAGAACGAGGAGCAGGAACAAAGGGGAACAACAAAUCGGUACUCACAACAUCCACACCGCAAUCCGCCGGGGAAGUCCCAAUAGUCUGUAUGGCAGGUGGGAUGCCGAUUGUCCGGGUCUGAGGCACAGCAUCCUCUCCUCAGCGAGACUCCCAAUUGUUCUAUGCUGUGACUCCCUUUUAUCCUGAGGUUCUUCCUCUGGGUUCUGACUCAGGGUUUCAGACAUUUGGAUAAUUUGAGUUAUUUCUUCUUGUUCCCACAGAUGGGAUGCUUCUCUCUUUUUUGUUCCCGUGGAUGGGAUGUUUCUAAAGUCCCAUCAGGUGCCCGUCGGGGUGGCCAGCCCAGACAGGGAACAUGACGCAGGACAUAUUCUUUGUAACUUGUGCCUUAGAGUCAGGGCUGAAGUGGCCGUCUUUGGCCCCGAGCCCAGACACAUUCCUUCACGUAGGGCGCAGGCCCAGUGUCCUUGGAAGGCGGGGAGGUCAAUGAACUCUGCAUAGUGCUGGAACCUGGUCUGAGGUCCAUCUCAGGCCCCUGAGUUCUGAGUUCACCUGGACCCCCUCCCCAGCAUCGGGACCUCUGGACGAGAUCCCUGAGAAUCAUCAGAUCGUACUGACAACGGCUGCCCAGAUGCUGGCUCGGUGGAAUCUUGGGUCCACGUCGGCCCCUUGUCUGUGCUGUUAGUCCGCUCCCGCGCCCUCCUGCCGUGGUGAGGGCGUUCAGAGCCCCCGAUCUACUGCAACAGCCAUCAGGGGAUAGAAACGAGGCUUUGCCCCUCAACUAGUCCCCUGACCUCUCACGAGGGACAGCACUGGACCUGGUUACUCACAAUGUCUGUUAACCGUGAAGUCUUUCCUGUGAGGUUGGGAGCUCCUCGAGAGAAGGUGGCAUGUCUUACUCAUGUUCCCGUCCUCAGAACCAAACAUGGUGUCUGUAACUGGAGGAGAUAAACAGGAGAAGGAGCUCAAAGAAAUUCUUCACAGAAGACUCCAAGCACUGUUCGUCCAGGAGGCCGUGGCUGCCCCCGUGCAAAGGUUCCGGGAGGCUGGGAGCCCCAGAUCACAGGAGCGAAGGUCUGGGCUCUCAGGGGGCCGAGAAGGAGUGUGUGAGGGGAAGGGAGGAAGAAAACCGAGCAUCUUCGUUCCACGGCUAAGCCCGCCCGGGGCGGGUGGGGAGCGACAUGGGCCUGGGACUGGAGUCUGCAGAGCUGACCCUGGGCCUCCAGCUGCCUCCCUGACACAGUCACUCACGCUGGGCACCUGCUGCCCCCUUGCCAGAGUGGGGCUCUUGGUCCACGGUCGCAGGCCUCCUGCCUCUGAAAGUUUGCAACGUUGUGGCAUGUGGGACGCUGCCUCAGCGUGGUCCGAUGAGCAGUGCCAUGCCCGCGCCCAGGACUCGAACCAACGAAACACCAGGCCACCUGCAGCGGAGCGCACGAACUUAACCACUCGGCCACGGGUCCAGCCCCACGAAGGGAUGUUUUUUAACCGCUUUGAGUGACACAUCGAGGUCACCGGUGCCGGCUUCGUCGUCCCAGCACAAGGCAGGCAGCAACGGAGGACGCUGCUCUUCAUCUGAGAGCUCGUAAGAGUCAGGAAAACAAGAAUUGACAGAAGCCUCCAACUUUACCUCGAGAUGACACGGAAUCGGAGCAGGAAGAGUGCGGUAUUCCCAGAUGGAGUUUGGUGGCUGCGGGUGAAAUCCAGCUUGCAGGAAGGGCGACUGACUCAUUCAGGAUCUUCUCUGCAAAACCUGGACUUGAGCUGGUCACUGUUUUUCGGUUCUCCUUGCACACCAUGUAAAGCCUGGCUGUACCAGCAUCUGCCACGUGGGCCUGCCUGCCCUGGGGUCACCCUCCUCUCCCCAGCCUAGAAUGCAAGCCCACCAUGGUGGGAUGUUGCUCCACUCACCACCCGGAACAUGCAAGGUGCUCAAAAAAUAUUUGCUUAAUAUCAGCAUGAAAUACUCUCUCUGCCCCGUGCUGUGCC